UCUCACCACGUUUCACUUAUCUUACAAAAGCUUGGCCAUCCCCAUGUUUAUCAUGGAGUGUGUGAUACUAAAGACUUUUUCUUUGGUUUUAUCUUCCAUUAUGGAUGUGUUCUGUAGUGUUUAUUAUGUAUAGGAAGUACAUAGUUGUAGUAUUGUAGCAACAAUGGAAAUUCUCUGCAAAUUUAGAGCACAGACAGAGAACUACAUGGGCUUGUACACAACCAUGUAACUCUCUGGAAUUCAUAAUGGUUGUACUAUAGCAGUGGAAAACUUUUCUUUUACCCUUUCUUUACCCUUAAAAAUUUCUUUAUUCCCCUUUCUUUUAUGCUUCUUUUCCUUUCACCUUCAUCUUCAUCUUCAACUUCUUUGGAUGAAAAAAAUCAACCUUUGAUCCCCCUCCAUUACCCUUGGAUUUGAAGGCUCAUUCUUCAUCACCUCCACUUCGUCGAACUAGUAAGGCUGAACAACCUCCGAGUAUAGCGAAGAGCUCGCGGAGGAGUAGAAACGACUUUUUGGGAGCAUUUAUCUGUCUAGCAUAGCACAAUGGUGGUGUGUUAGGAGCUGUGCAGGGAAGUUUGCAUCAGUGGUAAUGGUCUGUUUGGGCCUUACUAUGUUGUUUGAGCAUAUUUAGUGGAUCCACUAGACUGUUAUAGAGUUUUAAUUAUCAUUUGUAUCUAUUCUUUUCUGUAUUUUUAUUUGAGGGUUGCGAUUAUAUACCUUCUUGUAUACACUUUCUUAACUUGUACUUGU